rnacentral:rRNA from 1 species
GAUGAACGCUGGCGGCGUGCCUAAUACAUGCAAGUCGAGCGGUAAGGCUCUCACAGUUUGCUUCUUGCGCUGUUUCGAGACAGGUCGCGGAAAUUUCUUCGAAAUUUUCGCAUCAAAAACGAAGGAGUGAAUGCGGAAUUAACUUCCUCAUAAAGAAAGAAGGAGCAAAGUGUGAGAGUACACGAGCGGCGGACGGCUGAGUAACGCGUAGGAACGUACCCCAAAGUGAGGGAUAAGCACCAGAAAUGGUGUCUAAUACCGCAUGUGGUCUUCGGAUUAAAGCUUCGGCGCUUUGGGGAGCGGCCUGCGUAUGAUUAGUUUGUUGGUGAGGUAAUGGCUCACCAAGGCUUCGAUCAUUAGCUGGUCUGAGAGGAUGAUCAGCCAGACUGGGACUGAGAACGGCCCAGACUCCUACGGGAGGCAGCAGUAGGGAAUUUUCCACAAUGGGCGAAAGCCUGAUGGAGCAACGCCGCGUGCAGGAUGAAGGCC